CGGAGGCUUACACAUGCAAGUCGAGCGGAGAGAGGUAGCUUGGUACUGAUCUUAGCGGCGGACGGGUGAGUAAUGCUUAGGAAUCUGCCUAUUAGUGGGGGACAACAUUUCGAAAGGAAUGCUAAUACCGCAUACGUCCUACGGGAGAAAGCAGGGGAUCUUCGGACCUUGCGCUAAUAGAUGAGCCUAAGUCGGAUUAGCUAGUUGGUGGGGUAAAGGCCUACCAAGGCGACGAUCUGUAGCGGGUCUGAGAGGAUGAUCCGCCACACUGGGACUGAGACACGGCCCAGACUCCUACGGGAGGCAGCAGUGGGGAAUAUUGGACAAUGGGCGCAAGCCUGAUCCAGCCAUGCCGCGUGUGUGAAGAAGGCCUUAUGGUUGUAAAGCACUUUAAGCGAGGAGGAGGGUACUUUAGUUAAUACCUAGAGAUAGUGGACGUUACUCGCAGAAUAAGCACCGGCUAACUCUGUGCCAGCAGCCGCGGUAAUACAGAGGGUGCAAGCGUUAAUCGGAUUUACUGGGCGUAAAGCGCGCGUAGGCGUCUAAUUAAGUCAAAUGUGAAAUCCCCGAGCUCAACUUGGGAAUUGCAUUCGAUACUGGUGAGCUAGAGUGUGGGAGAGGAUGGUAGAAUUCCAGGUGUAGCGGUGAAAUGCGUAGAGAUAUGGAGGAAUACCGAUGGCGAAGGCAGCCAUCUGGCCUAACACUGACGCUGAGGUGCGAAGCA
rnacentral:rRNA from 1 species